GAGGAAUAUUGCGCAAUGGGGGAAACCCUGACGCAGCGACGCCGCGUGAGUGAAGAAGGCCUUUGGGUUGUAAAGCUCUGUCAGAUGGGAAGAAGUGCAUUAUGGUUAAUACCCAUAGUGUUUGACGGUACCA
rnacentral:rRNA from 1 species